UACGGGGGGGGCAAGCGUUGUUCGGAAUUACUGGGCGUAAAGGGCGCGUAGGCGGCUCGCUAAGUCGGGUGUGAAAACUCUGGGCUCAACCCAGAGCCUGCAUUCGAAACUGACGAGCUAGAGUUCUGGAGGGGAAAGCGGAAUUCCUGGUGUAGCAGUGAAAUGCGUAGAUAUCAGGAGGAACACCGGUGGCGAAGGCGGGUCUCUGGGCCGAUAUUGACGCUGAGGAGCGAAAGCGUGGGGAGCGAACAGG
rnacentral:rRNA from 1 species